CGGAACGGGUGAGUAACGCGUGAGUAACCUGCCCUGGAGUGGGGGGAAACAGUUGGAAACGACUGCUAAUACCGCAUAAGCCCACGAUCCGGCAUCGGAUUGAGGGAGAAGGAUUUAUUCGCUUCAGGAUGGACUCGCGUCCAAUUAGCUAGUUGGUGAGGUAACGGCCCACCAAGGCGACGAUUGGUAGCCGGACUGAGAGGUUGAACGGCCACAUUGGGACUGAGACACGGCCCAG
rnacentral:rRNA from 1 species